CGCUCCGCCCGCCCAGUCGGCUCUCGGGAAAGGGCUCGGCGCUGCCACGCGGGGAGCGCGCUCUCCGGCCCGGCCGCGGUAUGCGCGCGCUGCUCGGCCUGCUCCUGGUAUUCGGCUGCUGCACCUUCGCGUUGUACCUGCUGUCCACGCAGCUGCCCGUGGGGCCGAGGCUGGCGUCGGCCGAGGAGCCCCAAGGCAGCCGGUCACUGUGGUUCCCCUCAGAUCUAGCGGAGCUGCGGGAGCUCUCCGAGGUCCUUAGAGAGUACCGGAAGGAGCACCAGGCCUAUGUGUUCCUGCUCUUCUGCAGUGCCUACCUCUACAAACAGGGCUUUGCCAUCCCUGGCUCCAGUUUCCUGAAUGUUUUGGCUGGUGCCUUGUUUGGGCCAUGGCUGGGACUUUUGCUGUGCUGUGUGCUGACAUCGGUGGGUGCCACAUGCUGCUACCUGCUUUCCAGCAUUUUUGGCAAACAGCUGGUCAUCUCCUACUUUCCCGAUAAAGUGGCCCUGCUGCAGAGGAAGGUGGAGGAGAACAGAAACGGCCUGUUCUUUUUCCUGCUGUUCCUCAGACUCUUCCCCAUGACACCAAACUGGUUCUUGAACCUGUCGGCCCCGAUCCUGAACAUCCCCAUCGUGCAGUUUUUCUUCUCCGUGCUUAUCGGUUUGAUUCCAUACAAUUUCAUCUGCGUGCAGACUGGCUCCAUCCUGUCCACCCUCACUUCUCUGGAUGCUCUUUUCUCCUGGGAAACUGUCCUGAAGCUGCUGGCCAUAGCCCUGGUUGCUUUGGUUCCUGGAACCCUCAUCAAGAAAUUCAGCCAAAAGCACCUGGCCCUGAGUGACCCAAGGAGUACUCGUCACCUCGGUGGCAGGAAGGACGCGUGACACAGGUGCCAUGUUUACCACAGCCCUGGACUCUGCUGCUGGUCUGUGUGAUGGGCACGGUCCUCUAUUGUCCUCACUGUGUUUUAAUUACCCUCAGGAAGGUGAUGUGAACGGCGUUCUAGUGCGUGCAGAGGCCUAUCAGAAGGGCACUCUGCUUGAGGGUCCAGUCCCAUUUAGCAGGGUUCUGUGAAAUGGACUGCUUUCUAGAAAAUCUUGUUUUGGUUCUGUCCAAUAAUAGGGACUCAGUCUGUUGGGCUUGCCUCUUGCCAGUCCCUGAGAUGUCUUGGGAGAAGAUGCUGGUGGCCUUUUGGACAGGCUGUGUAACAGGUACACCUGUUAAGUCCCUGUGGAUGUUUGUAUCAGACAGAACUCUAGCCCGUUAGUCUCCUGAAGAGUGUCUUCUCUACCUUUUUGCUGAUGAUCUACCUCUCCAUAGGCCAAGGGACCCAUGGCGAACUGCCUAAGACUUACACACAGCUCGAGUGCAGUGAUUCCUGUAAUAUCCCCGUUCACACACUGAUGUUUCUAUGUCUAAGCUCCUUGUGGUUGUAUGUCUUCAGAGUUAAGCUGAUUCAAACAUGAUUAAAUAUGAAUGGAGCCAGCUUUGCAUGUUCUGAAUGUGUUCUGAGGAAAUGAUCCCUCAUCCCAAGGCCCUGCCAUGCUUUCUCUGUAUCAAAUGGCUGGUUAUGUAUUUUCCGCCUGGGAAUCCCUUCUACUGCCUCCUGCUGGGAGAGUGGCGUCAGUACAGGAGGCUGUCAGCCAGUAAACACACUGUGAUUCUUUGUUUUGUUUUGCCUUUGCAAGAACAGCUGAGGAAUUUGUACUUUUUAAUACAAACAGUUAAGAGCGGUGUGAGUGCUUGCCUGUCUGGUCAUCACUCACAGCUGUCAUUGUGUCUUCUAGCUGUGGCCCUGGGCUGAUAGCUCUGUGGGCUUGGACCUCAUGGGGACAACUCACGACAAGGACUUGCCAGCACUGCUGCUCUCAGGCAUCACAGGCUGGGCUGGUGUGUUUGUCUCAGGUCUGGGCUCAGCCAGGAGUCUUGCCAAGGCUUCAGUCGAGGCCUGAUGUGUGCGCUCGGGUUCCACAGUGAGAGUGGAUUUCCAUGUCAUGGCGUUUUUAAGGCUUUCAUUAAAAAAAGAAAUGUGUAAAAGAAGCCUUUCAAUUGAGGGGAUGACAGGAAAGAGGCUACACUUGAAGCCGGUGAUUCCAGAGCAUUUUGGAGUAGAGAGGGAGAGAAGACUUUUCUCCCCCUUUGCCUGCGUGGCCCCAGCGGGGCUCCGCACAAGUGUGCCUUAUCAGGCUUGAGCUCACAGGGGAAGGGAUUUCCCUAAUCCAUGGACAUAAACAUUCUGCAGUGAAGACAGAACUUAAGAGCUUGUCUCUGCAUGUUGCUGACUCAAAACUGCCUUUAUGAAAGGGACCAGAAUUGACUAAAAAAAUAUAAUUCAAAAGACUGGUUUAGCUCCCUAUUCCCAGCAGGCCUCUGACCAAAUCAUGCCAGCUUCCCAUUUGCCUCUCUUGGCUUCUUUAAGAGUGAUGUCAUUGGUAACAGGACAGCUGCAGGAAUGGCGGCAGAUGGCUCAGGAAGAACCAGAGUGCCUGUCUAAGCCUUUAUGGGAAAUCUCAGACAAAAUGGAAACCGCAUCUUUAGUGCUUCUCCCUGAAAUUAAGAGUCCUGGCUGCAGAACCCGGCUUGCCUUUUCCCUGAAAACCUGGCAGGGCAGCUUGUAGGACGCCAACAGCACCUUUAGGAAAAGACAGGACCAGAACACACCAGAGCUAGGAUUAAAGGUAUAUGCCAGCAGACCCAUCAAGAAUUUUCUUCCUUUAAGAGAACUUAAGUGGGCAGGCGAUCUCCAGGCCCCACCCUAUUGAGGAGCUCCUGGCAGCUGACAGCUACUGGAGGAAGGAGGAUCAUCAUUUGUCCGCGGAAGUGGUUCACUUAACUUCCCAUGCCCUACAGAUGAAUUUGGUGGAUCUAAUGGCUUAAAAUACUCAGUCUUCAAUCAGGCUACUCAAGACACCUUACAACACCACGUCAUUGCCCUGCGCAGGCUCUCCCAGAGUCCUGUAGCUAGCUCUCAGGUGAGGUAUGUUUCAAAGUGGACACAGGCAUCUCCGUUCCUGUGCUAAGCAAUUUUAAGAGGAAUUUUUAUUCAGCGACAUGAUCUAGAAGAAGAGAGGAAAUCCAGUGCUUGAUUGCGAUGCAAAACUGAAACUCCCCUUGGUAGUCAGUCCAAACCAGAUGGCCAAAGAAUGAAGGUGUUCAUCCUGCACCCAGUGACGAAGCUUGAGAUGGGCCUGGCAAGGCUUCUCAAAGCACCAACACGUGGCGGCAGCUAAGGGCACUGAAGAGCUGGCUCAGCGUUCUGCUGACUACAAGGUUCUCAAGGAAACACACUCCAGUUUCCUGCUUCAGGGCAGGCUCUGGGGGUAAGGUGAGGAGAAGCCUAUUUUCCCUUUUAACCUUGCUUAGAACAGUAAUUCUAUUCAAAAGGACGGGUUUUACUCCUAUCUUGAUGGCACAGCGAAUGACUGGAGUCCACACACACCCCUAGCAAGCCUAUGAUAGUUAAGCCAGUUAAAAGUGGCCUUAGAGUGAUGGACAGAGAGGACAGGAAUUCAGAAUGAAGACUGAUGUAGCAGGUGCGUUUCUGGGGAGGACCAACACUGAAAGGUGCCAGACAGAAGUUGGCCUUUAUGUAAACAGCUGGUUCUGCUUUGUGUUGGACAUUAAGAGUCUCUGUUCCAAGGAAUAAGGGACCUGAGGCUGGAGGAUGAGGGAAUAGUGCCUCUGAUGUCAUUCCCCAGCCCUGUGACCCCCAAAUGCCUCCACCUCCUAGAACUCUUGUCUAUUCCAGAAGCAGAUCGUGACUGGCAUUACGUAUUUCCCUUUGUUCUAGUCUUUCUGCUCUUCCCAAUUUGUGAGGCUCAGUGGGAAGGCGAUGACUUGCUUUGCUGUACACUCUUGAAACUGC